GCUGGGCGCCGGGCCUGUUUGGCUGUGACGCCCACCCCCGGCUUUCAUCCGCCUAUGCCCUAGGGCUAGUGGAAGACUUAAGAUGGCGGCGUUUGCACGGAGUGCAAUCACUGCGUCCUUACGGGGGUUGCAAGGCGUCCGAAGUAUGAGUCCACUAACAAAAGUCCAGAAACUCGCCAGUUAAUAGUAUUGUGUCUCUUCAAAAUAUCGGAGAAUAAUUUCUUUCUCGCUGAUCGCCUAACUUCUACUGACGAAGCUUGGAAGUUGCAGAAGGUACUGGCUCCUGUAUCACCCAGCUCUGGAGUUGAAAGAGCUCUUCAUUCCUGAGUCUCCUGUACCACUGAGAAUAGGUAGUUUUCUCUCCUCUCCUCUCCUCUCCCCUCCCCUCCCCUCCCCUCCCCCCCUUUUCUUUUCUUUUUUCUUUUCUUUUUUUGAUGGAGUUUCACUACUGUUGCCCAGGCUGGAGUGCAGUGGCGCAAUCUCGGCUCUCUGCAACCUUCACCUCCCGUGUUCAAGUGAUUCUCCUGCCUCAGCCUCCUGAAUACCUGAGAUUACAAGCAUGCACCACCACGCCCGUCUAAUUUUGUAUUUUCACUAGAGACGGGGUUUCUCCAUGUUGGUCAGGCUGGUCUCGAACUCCCGACCUCAGGUGAUCCGCCCGCCUCAGCCUCCCAAAGUGCUGGGAUUACAGGCAUGAGCCACCGCGUCCAGCAAGAAUAGGUGAUUUUCAAACUUGGAAACAUUCAGAAGUUAUCGCCUCAGUUUCAGAUUGAGUAGUCUCAAAGAGAUUACAGACAUCUACCACAAAUUCUCUACUUGGUGUGGUGCAAAAUCAGUAUGAUGUAAACUUUGUCUCUCAGUUUCUUCAAAGGAAAGAAGCAACUGGAACACACAUAUAACACUAACCCUUCCAGCUGCAUUAUGAGGGACCAGUACCUGUCUCAAGGCAAAAUUAUGACUUAGUUCAUCCUCACCUCUGGAGGCCAGUAAAAGUGGGUUAUAGAAGAACAAAGAGGCAUCUAGAUCUUUCACUGGGUUAUUUGGAGAGAAACAUCUCCUACCGAAGGCCAGUUUAACAAGACUGGUAGAGGAGGUUAUCUUAUCUAAUUCACAGAAAUCAACACAUUGAGUCAAGAAAAAUGAAACACAGAAACACUCUAAAUAAAAGAAGAUAAGUCUUCAGAAACCAACCCUAAUGAAAUGAAGAUAUGUGAUUAACCUGACAGGAAAUUAAAAAGAGCAACCAUAAAGAGUCUCAUGGGAGCAAUGCAUGAACAAACUGAGAAUUUUCAUAAAGAAAUAAAAGAUAACAAAAAGUAUAAAGUUGAAGAAUACAAUAACUGGACUCAAAAAUUUAAUGUGUCCAACAGAAGAAUCGAUGAAGCAGAAGAAAGGGCUAUCAAACUUGUAGAUAGGCCAUUGGAAAUCAUGUAAUGUGAGGAGAAAAAAGAAAAAAGAUUGAAGAUAGUUUAAGAGACUUUUGAGACAUCCUCAAAGGGGAAUAAUUUAUACAUUACCAGAUGGAGAAGAUAGAGGGAAAAGGACAGAAAACAUAUUUGAAGAAAUAAUGUCAGAAAACCUCAUAAUUCUGGCAAGGAAAUAGAAAUUUAGAUCUAAGAAUCUCGAACAUCAGGUAUGAUGAAUCCAAGGAGACUCACACCAAACCAUAUUGUAAUUAAAUAAAGGUUAAAGACAAUCUUCAGAGCAGCAAGGGAAUAGUCUCUUCUUACAUACAAAAUGAUCCACGGAAGACUGUCAGCAGACUUCACCAGAAAACUUUCACGCCAGAAGGCAGUCGUGAUAUAUACAAAAAGCUGAAAGGAAAACACUGCCAUCCAGGAAUACUAUCUCCAACUAUCCUGUGUUUCAAAAAUUAAGGAGAAAUAUAAAGUUCUCAAACAAAAGAUGUGGGAGUUUACCACCACUAGACCUGCACGGGAAGAAUUGCUAAAGGGAGUCCUUCAAGCUGUAGUAAAAGAGUGCUAAUUAGAAACAUGAAAACGUGAGUAUAAAACUCGCUGAUAAAAGUAAGUACAUAGUUGGCUGGGUGCGG
rnacentral:lncRNA from 1 species